rnacentral:rRNA from 1 species
GAUGAACGCUAGCGGCAGGCCUAACACAUGCAAGUCGAGGGGCAGCACAGGUAGCAAUACUGGGUGGCGACCGGCGCACGGGUGAGUAACGCGUAUGCAACCUACCUUUAACAGGAGAAUAGCCCCGAGAAAUCGGGAUUAAUACUCCAUAUCAUUUAUGAAUCGCAUGGUUUAUAAAUAAAAGUUCCGACGGUUAAAGAUGGGCAUGCGUGACAUUAGCUAGUUGGUGAGGUAACGGCCCACCAAGGCUACGAUGUCUAGGGGUUCUGAGAGGAUUAUCCCCCACACUGGUACUGAGACACGGACCAGACUCCUACGGGAGGCAACAGUGAGGAAUAUUGGUCAAUGGUCGCAAGACUGAACCAGCCAUGCCGCGUGCAGGAUGAAGGUUCUAUGAAUCGUAAACUGCUUUUCUAAGAAAAGAAACCUACUUACGUGUAAGUAGUUGCCGGUACUUUAGGAAUAAGCAUCGGCUAACUCCGUGCCAGCAGCCGCGGUAAUACGGAGGAUGCGAGCGUUAUCCGGAUUUAUUGGGUUUAAAGGGUGCGUAGGCGGAUCAUUAAGUCAGUGGUGAAAUCUUUCGGCUCAACUGGAAAAUUGCCAUUGAUACUGAUGAUCUUGAAUGCAGUUGAGGUAAGCGGAAUGUGUAAUGUAGCGGUGAAAUGCUUAGAUAUUACACAGAACACCGAUUGCGAAGGCAGCUUGCUAAACUGUGAUUGACGCUGAGGCACGAAAGCGUGGGGAUCAAACAGGAUUAGAUACCCUGGUAGUCCACGCUGUAAACGAUGAUUACUCGUUGUUUGCGAUAUACAGCAAGCGACUGAGCGAAAGCAUUAAGUAAUCCACCUGGGGAGUACGUUCGCAAGAAUGAAACUCAAAGGAAUUGACGGG